AUUGAACGCUGGCGGCAGGCCUAACACAUGCAAGUCGAGCGGUAGAGAGGUGCUUGCACCUCUUGAGAGCGGCGGACGGGUGAGUAAUGCCUAGGAAUCUGCCUGAUAGUGGGGGAUAACGCUCGGAAACGGACGCUAAUACCGCAUACGUCCUACGGGAGAAAGCAGGGGACCUUCGGGCCUUGCGCUAUCAGAUGAGCCUAGGUCGGAUUAGCUAGUUGGUGAGGUAAUGGCUCACCAAGGCGACGAUCCGUAACUGGUCUGAGAGGAUGAUCAGUCACACUGGAACUGAGACACGGUCCAGACUCCUACGGGAGGCAGCAGUGGGGAAUAUUGGACAAUGGGCGAAAGCCUGAUCCAGCCAUGCCGCGUGUGUGAAGAAGGUCUUCGGAUUGUAAAGCACUUUAAGUUGGGAGGAAGGGUCGUUACCUAAUACGUGACGAUUUUGACGUUACCGACAGAAUAAGCACCGGCUAACUCUGUGCCAGCCGCCGCGGUAAGAC
rnacentral:rRNA from 1 species